GCAUACGGGUAAUCGAGCAGUUUUUACUGUUAGGAAAGUCCAUGCUAGCACAAACUGAGAUGUUUGUAGUGUUUAUGCUAAGGGAAAAAAUAACCUUAGGCACGAAAGUGACGGCUGGUAAGUUACCUAAGUUUAGAUAUGGUAACACCUAUAAAAGUGCCACAGUGACGAUGCUACACGAAAGUGUAGAGUGGAACGGGUAAACCCCAUAAGCUAGAAACCCAAAUUAUGGUAGGGGCACUCUUUGAAGAGAAUUCAAUCUAUCAAGGAGACGUAUUUCGUAGAUAAAUGAUUACCGCUUUUUAAAAGUACAGAACAUGGCUUAUAGUA
rnacentral:RNase_P_RNA from 1 species